rnacentral:rRNA from 1 species
UACGGGGGAGCAAGCGUUGUUCGGAUUUACUGGGCGUAAAGGGCGCGUAGGCGGCGCAACAAGUCACUUGUGAAAUCUCCGGGCUUAACCCGGAGCGGUCAAGUGAUACUGUCGGGCUUGAGUACGGAAGAGGCGAGUGGGAAUUCCUGGUGUAGCGGUGAAAUGCGCAGAUAUCAGGAGGAACACCAAUUGCGAAGGCAGCUCGCUGGGACGUUACUGACGCUGAGACGCGAAAGCGUGGGGAGCAAACAGG